rnacentral:rRNA from 1 species
GUCCACGCCCUAAACUAUGGAUGCUAGCUGUGAGGAGUAUCGACCCUCUUCGUAGCGAAGCUAACGCGUUAAGCAUCCCGCCUGUGGAGUACUAGCGCAAGCUUAAAACAUAAAGGAAUUGACGGGGACCCGCACAAGCGGUGGAGCGUGUUGUUUAAUUCGAUGGUAAGCGAAGAACCUUACCCAGACUUGACUUCCUUGUCGUCGUUCUGUGAAAGCAGAAUUUCAUUUAGUUGGACAAGUGACAGGUGUUGCAUGGCCGUCGU